CAGCCGCCACGGUAAUACGUAGGUCCCGAGCGUUGUCCGGAUUUAUUGGGCGUAAAGCGAGCGCAGGCGGUUAGAAAAGUCUGAAGUGAAAGGCAGUGGCUCAACCGUUGUAGGCUUUGGAAACUGUUUAACUUGAGUGCAGAAGAGGAGAGCGGAAUUCCAUGUGUAGCGGUGAAAUGCGUAGAUAUAUGGAGGAACACCAGUGGCGAAGGCGGCUCUCUGGUCUGUAACUGACGCUGAGGCUCGAAAGCGUGGGGAGCAAACAGGAUUAGAUACCCCUGUAGUCCCUGUCUCUUAUACA
rnacentral:rRNA from 1 species